rnacentral:rRNA from 1 species
AGAGUUUGAUCCUGGCUCAGGAUGAACGCUAGCUACAGGCUUAACACAUGCAAGUCGAGGGCAGCAUUGAGAUAGCUUGCUAUUCAGAUGGCGACCGGCGCACGGGUGAGUAACGCGUAUCCAACCUUCCCCUUAGUAGGGGAUAGCCCGGUGAAAAUCGGAUUAAUACCCUAUGUUGUUCGAAGCAGACAUCUAAAUUGAACCAAAGGUUUACCGCUAAGGGGAUGGGGAUGCGUCUGAUUAGGUAGUAGGCGGGGUAACGGCCCACCUAGCCGACGAUCAGUAGGGGUUCUGAGAGGAAGGUCCCCCACAUUGGAACUGAGACACGGUCCAAACUCCUACGGGAGGCAGCAGUGAGGAAUAUUGGUCAAUGGACGAGAGUCUGAACCAGCCAAGUAAGCGUGCAGGACGACGGCCCUAUGGGUUGUAAACUGCUUUUAUACAGGGAUAAAGUCACCUACGUGUAGGUGUUUGUAGGUACUGUAUGAAUAAGGACCGGCUAAUUCCGUGCCAGCCGCGGC